rnacentral:tRNA from 1 species
AGGGAUGUGGCUCAGUGGUAGAGCACUUGCCUAGUAUGUGAGAGGCACUGGGUUCAAUUCUCAGCACUGUUG